GUUCACAGCUGACCAUGAGGUUCCCUGCCCAGCUCCUGGGGCUCCUCCUGCUCUGGGUCCCAGUCUUUCCUUUAGGAUUUG